GAAAUCAUAAUCAUUUCUUUUCUUUUAUUUCUUCCUUAUCCAAACAAAAAUGAGAGAAAUCACAAUCAUUUCUUUUCUUUUCUUUUCUCUUAUUACUUAAGUAAUCUUUUCUUUUCUCUCCUAGAUUCCCAAACACAGUGUUAGUUGGGGUGUUGAUCUUCAAUUGCGAAGGAGUUUUGCUGAGGGUGAUUGGAGAUUAGUCUCCACAUAAUGGCUAGGGUUUUGCUAAGAUGUGAUCUGGACCUUAUUCUUUUGAAGUAGUAGAUUCUAUCGCCCAAUUGGUGGAGUCUUGGUCUUGGCGGUGUGAGUUUCGGCUACAGUGGGCGUGGCUAGUAAUGAGUGGGUCCUUUUCAGUUGUGUGGCUGGAGACGGGUUUGGACUACGACUCUACAAGUGAAAGCUUGUCUUACUAUGGCUAUAGUUAGGGCUGUAAAUGAGUUGAGUUGAGCCGAGUAGUAGUAGGCUGUCUAAGCUUGGCUUGUUUAUCUUAAUGAGCUUCAAAAUAUGUUUAAAGUUUGCUUGUUUUCCUUUCGAGUUGAUCUCAAGCAAGCUUUGAUUGAACCAAUAACAAAUUGAGCUUGAGUAGUUUGGUUUUUUUAUUAUUUAUAAUGCAUAUAAGUUUAUCAAGCCGAGUAAUAGUUUGUUCAAGCUAGACUUGAAAAACUAACGAGCUUUAAAUUGUGUUUCAAGUUUGACUUGUUUACAUAACAAGCCAAUCUUGAACAACUUUUUAACGAGUUGAACAUGAGUCGUGCUCAAGUAGCUUAGUUUGUUUUACAACCCUAGCUAUAGUGUUCAGCUUUUGCAUGGAGGUGUCCAUAGAUUUUGACUCAAUUGGGUGUAGAAACAGGGUGUUGCCUAGUUGACGAUACUCUUCUUAUAUGUAGCUCAUGCUGCUAUGGAUGAAUGUUCUGACAAGGCUAUGGGCUUGUUGACCAUAGUUUUUUCAGGGGAAAAAACAAAUUUUUAGUGUUCCCUUGAAGAGAGAAACAAGACUCUAGUAUUUUAAAAAAAAAAAAUUUGUUUUAGCCUCUUAAGUUGUUCCUAAAUGGGUUGUGCCUUAGUGUUGCGCAGUUUUGAGUUUUAUGUUGUACUUGUAUCAUCUCUUUUCUUUACUAGGUGAGCUUUCUCUUUAGAGAAGUUUAUCAUGUGUUGGUUCAUAAAAUUUUCUCUGUAUACUGAGUUGUUUUGAGGUUUACCUUUGGGUAAGUGUUUUGAGCUUUAUUGCAAUCUAUAUUUUUGGUAAUAAAAAUUAAUUUUACUUAAGUUACCAAAAAAAGAACUUUUGUUGCGUCAUUUUUUAUGUUUUUUUGUAUUAAAGCCAACAUAACAUGUGAACUUUUUCUAACAAUCAUGGUGUUGUAUGGUAAUCUCUUUGCUGGGGCAGUUCAGUAAAGGCUUAUGCAGCAAAUUCUUCAAUAAGAAUUGAAUCCCAUGAAAAGCCUUCAGCACUGAAAUGAUUACAUCAUCUGCUUGCUUUGCGUCUUCAGGGAGCUGAUGUGUCACCCCCAGGGGAAACACUGCCCGUUUCAAAAAACAGAUGCCGAAGAUAGGUUGCUGAGAGUUUUGAAGACAAAUUGCCCGUGAACGAAGGUCACCGACUACCUACUUUUAUGACAUUCAACUGUACACACACUUGCAUGCACUUGUACACAUGCACGUGCCUCUUAAUCUGUUGAACAGAUUUGCUUUUAAAAUAUAUAUUGGAAAGCAUUUUCCAGCCUGAAAAUAAUGGAUUUAACCUAAGGGAAAUAAUAAUUUUGGCUUUAAUUUUCUGUCAUACAGAGUAGGUAUGAUAUACCUGCCAAGAACAACCUGAAAUUGAAUUAUUGAAACCUCAAUAGUCGCAGUUCUUUUUUGUCUUACUUUUCCCAAAAUGACCAGUUUUACUGUUGAAAUGAUGUCCAGGUGAUGUUUUACUUUUCAUGUGCUUCUUAGUGUUUCUAUAUUUGUCUCCAUAUGAUCUCUGUCAUUUUGAAUGAAUCAAGAACAAGUCUAGAAACACAUAAUUUGAUCAGAGUAUCGCACACGACCUUCUUACCUGAGGUAAGCCCACCUUUUUGUGGGUUUUAUUUUGUGCAAGUAGAAAAACUGUAAAUCUUAAAAUCCUGAACUUUAGAAAGUUGGUGAGUGCUAAUUCACUAAAAUCAGGUGGUGGCUUCCACUAUGUAUGACCAUGAAAUUUCUUCACUUUUGAUUGAUUUCACUUCACUUAGAUUGUUUUGUUUGCCCAAAUGAUUAUUUUUUUAUUUACAUAACUUAGACAAAGGUUACCGACAUUUGGGUCGACACAAUAAUUCAAAUUUAUCCUAUUCUAAUUUCACAUGAUAAAGUAUCUGAUAGUAUCCAAUAUGAUGUACUGUAAUGAAAGGUACAUGUAUGUAUAUUAAGGUACCGGAUAGCACCUAAAGAUGAGCAAAAGCGUUAGAUACAGGUUGGUUGUGGGUCUACAGAGCCCUGGCCCUGUGCUCCUGCACUUCUUACCCAUCAAUUUAAGAUUGAUAUAUUCAUAUAUAUAUAUAUAUAUAAAUGUUUGUCCAGGUUAGAUGGUUUGUAGUGAUCAUGUGCAGAUUGCAGGGAAGCAGAGACAAUGGUUGUGCAGAUAUAUUGCACUGAGAGAGCACUCAUUCAUGGUUUUGUCCAUUUACAUUUGGCUCUGCAGCCAAGAAGGGGAUUAAAUUAUGUGAAUAUAGUCCCACCUCCAUCAACAAUGGGGGCUCACCUGCAAUUAUUUAAUAUAUCCACUGCUCCUCCCCAUAUCUUCGUACCAGGCUUUUCAAUAACCUCUCUGUCUAAUAUCUGUCGUAUGGAAUCUUCAGAUCGAUUGUAUGCCGUGUUAUUUAUUAAUACAAAUUUGGUAUGAAAACCAUGGUUUGUGUA